UACGGAGGGUGCAAGCGUUAUCCGGAUUCACUGGGUUUAAAGGGUGCGUAGGUGGGUUGGUAAGUCAGUGGUGAAAUCCCCGAGCUUAACUUGGGAACUGCCAUUGAUACUAUCAGUCUUGAAUACCGUGGAGGUCAGCGGAAUAUGUCAUGUAGCGGUGAAAUGCUUAGAUAUGACAUAGAACACCAAUUGCGAAGGCAGCUGGCUACACAAAUAUUGACACUGAGGCACGAAAGCGUGGGGAUCAAACAGG
rnacentral:rRNA from 1 species